rnacentral:rRNA from 1 species
GAUGAACGCUGGCGGCGUGCCUAAUACAUGCAAGUCGAGCGAACAGACGAGGAGCUUGCUCCUCUGACGUUAGCGGCGGACGGGUGAGUAACACGUGGAUAACCUACCUAUAAGACUGGGAUAACUUCGGGAAACCGGAGCUAAUACCGGAUAAUAUAUUGAACCGCAUGGUUCAAUAGUGAAAGACGGUUUUGCUGUCACUUAUAGAUGGAUCCGCGCCGCAUUAGCUAGUUGGUAAGGUAACGGCUUACCAAGGCGACGAUGCGUAGCCGACCUGAAAGGGGAACCGGCAAAACUGAAACUAAAAAAGGGUCAAAAUCCCAAGGGAGGGCGGCGGAGGGAAACUUCCGGAAAGGGGCAAAGGCUGAAGGGAGCAAGGCGGGGGAGUGAAGAAAGGUUUCGGAAUCGUAAACCUCUUUAAUAGGGAAGAAAAAAAGGUGAAAGUAACAAGGAACGCUUUAACGGAACUUAUCAGAAAGCCACGGCUAACUACGUG